rnacentral:rRNA from 1 species
AAGGUACCGUCAGGCACGCAGGGUAUUACCCUUUGUGCGCAUCGUUCCUCCCGACAGAGCUUUACGAUCCGAAGACCUUCAUCACUCACGCGGCGUUGCUGCGUCAGGCUUUCGCCCAUUGCGCAAAAUUCCC